UGCAGAUCUACAAAAAUGCCAUGAAUACACCUGAGAGUCAAGAUGCUCUGAUAUUAUUUACUUUUAGCUAAAAAGGAUUAGAAGGUAAUAAGCUGACUCUAUGAACUGCUGUUAACUUCUCCCAGGGACUGUGCCUACAGUGACUUACUCUGCCACCAGGGGCCUUACUGGCCAGGACCCAGGCCAACCCCAUGCUGGCACCCUCCUCCACGAGGCCCACAUCCGGUUACCAGUCAACACUCAAGUAUCCUUUGGCCCACCCAACUGGAGGAAUGCAGACAAUUCCCAAUGUGGCACACUCUCCUCAGCCCAUCCCUCUGCUUCAGAUCUGCUGUGCAACAGUCCAAGGCCUACAUGCUGCGUCUCUUCAACAGCAGGAUACCAUGUCAAGCUCACCCAGAGUCCUGUUGAAGCCCACUCUCUUUUCACUGAGGGUGGGUGUUAUUGCAGGCAAUAGUUCACUCCUAAGGACCUUUUUUUUUUCUUUCCGAGAUGGAGUCUUGCUCUGUCGCCCAGGCUGGAGUGCAGUGGCGCGAUCUCGGCUCGCUGCAAGCUCUGCCUCCGGAGUUCACACCAUUCUCCAGCCUCAGCCUCCCGCGUAGCUGGGACUACAGGCCCCCAUCACCACGCCUGGCUAAUUUUUGUAAUUUUUUUAGUAGAGACGGGGUUUCACCAUGUUAGCCAGGACGGUCUUGAUCUCCUGACCUCGUGAUCCGCCCACCUCGGCCUCCCAAAGUGCUGGGAUUACAGGCAUGAGCCACCACGCCCAGCCCCAAGGACCUCUUUACUAAUCUUCUCCAUAUUAUGUAAACUUUUCUAUCCUUAAUCUGGUACAAGAGCUGAAGACUCAUGAAAUCAAUCACUGAGCACUUCCUUCAUAAAUUCUGUGCAUGGGGGUUUGUCUCACAAUCACUUUGGUCUGUGAUACCUAUUGUAUUGGCAAUUCCAUCAGAAUGGAGGCAGGAAAAGCACCAUUUCAACACCCUGUUACAUGUAGUAUUCACAAGUCAUAAAACAGUAGAAUUUAAUGAGUAUAAUUUAGUGCUAAUAUCACAAUUUGUUUCUAGUUGACAUUUUAAAAAUUCAGUGAUAUUUACAUUCUUAGACAAUUGUCGAGACUUUGAACCCUAUUUAAAAAAAUGACUCAACACCCUCAAAAAAUUUUAUCUAUAUACUGCAAGCAGAAAAAUAGAAAGAGACAGAAGCCAAGGAAUUAAAGUGUGUUGCAUUAUAUAAAAA
rnacentral:lncRNA from 10 species